UGUUCCAGUAUUGCAAGUUUGUUGUUUAUGGAUUGUAGAAAACUGACCUCGAUGGAUGUAGAAGUAGCGCAAGCGGUAGGUGAUUCUGGUUCAGUCUCUGUUGAGUAGUCACGAGUGCGUUUCUUGCUGGGUUCAGAUGACAUAACGUCCAGAAUGAAGAGGUUGCCGUUGGAAAAGGUGGAGAAUAUAAUCCGGUUUUUGAUGAGAGUUGUAGAGAGGUAGUGAUUGUUUUUACAUGUGUUAUAUUAAUGC